ACAGAGGUGGCAAGCGUUGUUCGGAAUUAUUGGGCGUAAAGAGCACGUAGGCGGCCCUACAAGUCAGCUGUGAAAUCCUUCUGCUCAACGGAAGAACGGCAGUUGAUACUAUAGAGUUAAAGUACGAGAAGGGAGAGUGGAACUUCUGGUGAAACGAUAAAAUACGUAGAUAUCAGAAGGAACAGCGGCGGCGAGAGCGACUCUCUGGCCCGUAACUGACGCUGAGGUGCGAAAGCUAGGCGAGCAAACGG
rnacentral:rRNA from 1 species